ACAGCAGCAGCCGCGGGAAUACGAAGGGUGCAAGCGUUACUCGGAAUUACUGGGCGUAAAGGGCGCGUAGGCGGUUUGUACAGUUGGAUGUGAAAUUCCUGGGCUUAACCUGGGGGCUGCAUUUAAUACGUGCAGGCUUGAGUGUGGAAGAGGGUUGUGGAAUUCCCAGUGUAGAGGUGAAAUUCGUAGAUAUUGGGAAGAACACCGGUGGCGAAGGCGGCAACCUGGUCCAUUACUGACGCUGAGGCGCGAAAGCGUGGGGAGCAAACAGGAUUAGAUACCCGUGUAGUCCCUGUCUCUUAUAC
rnacentral:rRNA from 1 species